AGCUGGGCUGGCUAUGAGGAGAGUCUGCACUUUGGGAGCUCAUUUUAAUCACCGUUUUUAGAAGUCAUUCCCAGAGACGCUUUGGCCGCAAUUAACCAAUAAAGGAAUAGAACAAGGGAAGCCAGCAAUGAACUUUGGUCCCUCAGCCAUGAUCUAGGACAGUGCUUUGGGAGGAAUAACCAAUGUAUCUUCUUGGAGCAGUGGCGGUAUAGAGUCUGAGCCUUAUGGAGUUCUCUGGGUCCUUGCUGGGUUCAUCAGCUGGUAUGCUUGGCUAUUUUUGGAUGCCAUCCAUGGAGAAUCGAUGAAUAGAGAGGACAGUGUAUAAUAUUUCCACCUGGUCACUUGGCACAAACAAAACCUUCCCAAAAGAGCGUGGCACCUAAAGCCCUAUGAGACGAUCUCAUCUGAGUCUGUGUUCAUUGUCUGAAUUUCACAAAAAGAAAAGCACCGAAGUGAGAACAGAGGUCUAAGUUCGUUUUGUUUACUGUUGUGUCCCUUGCUCCUGGAACAGAAUUUGGCACCAUUAGAUGCUCAGUAUAUAAAAGUGAAAGUCAAUAAACAGUA